rnacentral:tRNA from 1 species
CAUCAAGAAGCUAUGUCAGCGUUAACCUUUUAAGUUAAAGACUGAGAGCAUGAUACUCUCCUUGAUGA